CUACGCACUCCUACGGGAUGCAGCAGUGGGGAAUAUUGCACAAUGGGCGCAAGCCUGAUGCAGCCAUGCCGCGUGUAUGAAGAAGGCCUUCGGGUUGUAAAGUACUUUCAGCAGUGAGGAAGGUGGGUAUGUUAAUAGCAUACUCAUUUGACGUUAGCUGCAGAAGAAGCACCGGCUAACUCCGUGCCAGCAGCCGCGGUAAUACGGAGGGUGCGAGCGUUAAUCGGAAUUACUGGGCGUAAAGCGCAUGCAGGUGGUUUGUUAAGUCAGAUGUGAAAGCCCGGGGCUCAACCUCGGAAUUGCAUUUGAAACUGGCAAACUAGAGUACUGUAGAGGGGGGUAGAAUUUCAGGUGUAGCGGUGAAAUGCGUAGAGAUCUGAAGGAAUACCGGUGGCGAAGGCGGCCCCCUGGACAGAUACUGACACUCAGAUGCGAAAGCGUGGGGAGCAAACAGGAUUAGAUACCCCGGUAG
rnacentral:rRNA from 1 species